rnacentral:tRNA from 1 species
GCGCGUGUAGCUCAGUGGUAGAGCAGCGGCCUUUUAAGCCGAUGGUCGUGGGUUCGAUCCCCACCGCGCGUACCA